UUUUUUAUUAAUAUAAUUGAGACAAGGCCGAAUGAACUGAAGGGUAAACUAUGUACUAUGGAGGGAAAUAUAACGUUGAUUCUCAAUGAAAAUCGAAUAGAAGUCAUUAAGGAAAAACUUGCAUCCAGGAGCUGUUAUUUUGCGUCGCUUUUCUCACACAAUUUUAACGAUUCACAUAGUAACGAACAUGUUAUCAACUAUAACGUUACCUUUUGUACUUUACAGAAUUUUGUGGAAUGGAUUCACGAUGACGAAACACCUGUAUACAUGCACUAUAGUCCUGUCAAAGUUUCCAUGAUAAAAUUUAUAAAAAAUAAUUUUACGGAAUUAUUAAGUUUAUUACAAUUAAGUUUGUUGUUUAUGGCUGAUGAUUUAACAAACGAUGUUACAGACAUUAUAAUUUCUCAUUGGCUCUUACCAGAGAAAAUAAUUGAUAUAUGGCUUUUGGCUCAAGAAUUGAGUAUAAAAGCGUUACAAGAUAUUUGUCUCUCAAUUUGUUUAGAUCGUUUUGAAGAGUUGCCUGUACAUUCGCUUACCGAAUUAACCAAAGAUAAUAUUACUCGUUUAAUUACAAACGUAAACAUAAGAUCUUCUACCGAGUACCUGAAGUUUGUAAGAGACGAAUGGAAAAUGUACCACGGGACAACGGACAUUGCAGAAAUAAAAGAUAAAAGCCAAUUGAAGUUUAUACGAGGCAGUGUCGUUUGUAAUACACAAGAAUCUGUCGUUAAGGAUAUAUUUUUAUAUACCUGGAAUGGUGACAAUUUAAGCAAAUGCGUUCGAUUAAAAAAUAUAGGAGACUCAGGAAACUUAAUAAUCGGGAUGCAAAUAGCUGGUAGAGGUUUCAACAUUUAUACAAUUGGAGGAGAAAUGGGAUUGGGAACUGGGAAAUUUAACGACAUUAUUUGGCGUUAUUGUCUUUUAUCUAAAAAGUGGUAUUACCAAGCACGUUUACCUGUUCCCAGGAGGCAUAUGGUUGCCGUAUUUCUGAAGGACAAAUUAGUUGUAGUAGGUGGCGUAGGGAGGCAUAGAUUGAAAUUGUUAACAGUCGACAUUCUACACAUUCACACGGGUAAUUGGACAAAAUCUAAACAAACUAUUGGGAUACUAUAGCAAUCAAUAAUCCUGCUAUACGAAGCAUAGCGUUUCUUACACCUGAUACAACGUUAUUUUUGAUCGGCGAUCAUUCUGGUGAAACGAUCCUAUCAAAAAUCGACAUUAAGGAGACAGUUUGUCAGGAAGAAAGCUGCACGAAAGAGUGCGCGAGACAUAAUAUUAUAAAUAUUAUGAACAUUGCACACGAAGAUUACUAUCGAAUAAGGUAUGCGCGCGUCAUUGAUAUCGACAUGAUAAUAUUGGAC
rnacentral:misc_RNA from 1 species